GCAUUUUGUGUUUAUCUUCGGUUUAAACCAGCAUCUGCAGUUCCUUCCUACACAUCCAGCAAUUUGUGUUUUGGGGAUUAAUCCAUUUUGCCUUUGCCAGUGAUGCCGACAUUUGAAAAAAGAACAUGGGCCAAGUCCAUAAAUCCCAUGGUAUUGUUCCCUGUGUUGGCGAGAUAUCUCUCUGGUCUCCUCUGAUCCUGCAUUGAUGAGGUUAGCUGCUUUGCCUAGGGAAAGUGAUUCACGGAAUGCAUCGUUACCUGAACAGCUUCCUCAUGUCUUCCAAUAAUUAGCUAACAAUGGCAUUUGGAGAAGGAAGGAAUGGUCAGGUUAGUGCCUUCAAAUGAAAAGGACAGUUUAUGUUUUCUUGAGUGACAAUUCCGCCAAGGAUAACCAGUGGGAAAAUGUUUUUUGUGGGGAACAUUAAACCUUUUUAUUCUAAAGGAUAUAUCACAGGUGAAUAGAACAUUUCACUGCUGAAAGUUUAUUUUAAAAGAUGUUAUAUUUUCCCCAUACACCUUCCUAUAGGUCACAGGAACCCUGUGUUGUUUAGUAGGCAGGACAAUGUAACCUAGAGUCUACCCUUAGAAAGCCGGUUCUGACAGAGAUAAGCUAAAAUAGCACACAAAACGGAGGGGUGAAAAUUAAGCCUCUGGGUAGCUAUUAUACAGCAAAAAAGAGAUAGCGCAGCAAAAAAAACUGUGUUUACAUAAGUAAGACAUUUAGUAACUGUUCAGGAAUGAUGUCCUAUGAAGGAAUUUUAAUUUCUAAAUCUGAUGAAUGAUGAGCUGUUUUUAUACGGCUGUGGCCUACAUUCUGUGAGUAAUUUUAGAGCAAUUUGCAGUCAACAAGCAGAUCUACUACAUAUAAAAUAUUAUCAAUGAUUUUGUCAACCUGAGCCCUAACCUCCUUUGUUAUUUUCAUCAGUUCUCCCCUCAGAUGUCUCUCCUAGUGCCCAUACCCCCUGAAGACUAGCAACAGGAUGUCAUACACCUGUUUUGCUUAAGGCUGGGACUUCAAACCCUUUGUGAUAGCGAAGGCAUUGGCUCACGCUGCCUUGCACAACGUAUAUGUCAAAAUGUCAGAUGAUAGUUGUUGUAUCUGCAGCUGUUGCAUAAGGAGAUUGCCAGCGGCACAACUUUCCUGCGGUGAGCUUUAAUUUGCUUCCCCCUCCCAGAAGAGUUUCCUCCCCUCACCUUGCUGCUUUAGUUGCAGCUGUAGUGGAGCACAGUCUACAUGCAGCUGGGACUGGGAUAUGUGCAGAACCUUCACACAAGGCACGCUUAAGAUUUCAUUAACAUUCAUUUUGAAGGAUGCAAAUAAUGUUAUCUACUGGAGACAUAACCAAAUAUUUCUGUUUGAUCAGCACCUGAAUGAUCCACUGGUACAGGUACGGCACGGUAAAGCUGAGGAAACCACUGUGAGGAUGCUGAAAUGCCAAUGAUUACAAUUCCAUGUAGCCAAGGAAAUGGUGAGCACAGAGAGACCCAUAGCAUUUACAUCUCAGCAUUUGCUACAGCAGAAGCAAGGAAUGCUAACAAAGAAUCAAGACUGGAGACUCAAGGAACUGCAGAUGCUGGAAUCUUGAGUAAAACACCAGGUGCUGGAGUGACUCAACAGGUCAGGCAACCUCUGUCAAUUCUUAUGAAGGGUCCCAACCUUAAACGUCACACAUCCAUGUCCGUCACAAAUGCUGCCCGACUCAGAGUUACUGCAGCACUUUGAGUUUCUCUCACAAACAAAGACUAUUAGCAGUCGAGAAUGGAUAUGCACAAUUCCACACCUACAUCUAUGAAGAAAAUAUUAGUUUCUAAACCUGUUUACUGACUUUGGAGCAAAACUAUGAGAAACUCACAUGAAGAACUGGUAAAUUUGCGAUGUUUGCUCUUAUGGCUGUUGAUUACCCAGAAGUGCAAGUCAGGAAAAGAAAUGGUGCUAAUGGAUGCACUAUCUCUUGGUUAUUGCUGCUGGAGGGAUAUGAGAUAAGAGAGCUAGGUGUGAAGAUAGAGCACUGAGCAGGAGUGACACCAACAUCAUCUCAGCAGCAUCAGCAACAAUGCAGAGUGAGUGUCAUUUCUUCAACAAUUGACACUAAACCACCAAAACAAGCACAGAUAGAAAUGUUGACAACCAAAUCAACAAAACGACAAUGUAAUAUUUAACUACCUGAAUGAAAUUUAAAAUAGCAUUUUUGUACGUAGAUUGUAAGAGUUAAAAUAUGUUAAAAUCGUUCAUCUAUGUUAAAGAUAAAGUUUAAAAGAUUUGGCUUUUUUUAGGAAAGAAAAAAUGAUAUUGUUAUGUGUUUUUUUUUUAUUUCAAAUGUGCUGAAACUGUGAAUAUAGCUGUGCAAAAUAGUUUCACUUUGCUGUGCAUACAUGACAAUACACCAUUGAAUCUAAAAGAGGACUCUUGAUGACACCAUUAAAGUGUUUCGGACUGGU